UACGUAGGGUGCAAGCGUUAAUCGGAAUUACUGGGCGUAAAGCGUGCGCAGGCGGUUUUGUAAGUCUGUCGUGAAAUCCCCGGGCUCAACCUGGGAAUUGCGAUGGAGACUGCAAGGCUAGAAUCUGGCAGAGGGGGGUAGAAUUCCACGUGUAGCAGUGAAAUGCGUAGAGAUGUGGAGGAACACCGAUGGCGAAGGCAGCCCCCUGGGCUGACACUGACGCUCAGGGACACGAAAGCGUGGGGAGCAAA
rnacentral:rRNA from 1 species